CCAGUUCUAUUGUACAUGUAAAACCCAGAAGUGAUUAGUCUUUACUUAACUGAACUAAACUACCCUUAACUGUAUGUAACAGUGCUGACCUGACACCAAUCUUUUCGACUAAAAUCUUGUCAGGUGAUUGUGGAGGGUUAUAACAUGGGUUUGCCAAUUGAUCUUGUAAAGUUGGAUGGGACAUGGCGCCUGCAGUAUACUUCUGCCCCUGAUGUUCUCAUUCUUUCGAAGCUGCCGCUAGACUUCCUUUCUUUCAGAAAUCAUUAUACAUGAAGAGGCUUGAAGAAUGUUGAAAAUAACUUGCCUGCGGGCAGUUUUUAUGGAUCAUUAUCUGCCAGAAGAUGCCUUUUUUUUUUUUUUUUUUUUUUUUUUUUUUUUUAUAUUUUAAGCAUCUCAUGUCUAAAAUUUAUGUACAUUGGCUUAUUCUAUGUCUAGGUGUAUGUGAAAUAUCCAUCACUACGUUUGUUAUUUCCUUUAUCUCUGUGUUUUCCCCCAAAAACAUUGUUCUCUGCAAUUGGUUUCUGCAUGAAUGUGG